UGUGGCUCAGUGGUAGAGCACUCGCCUUGCAUGUGUGAAGCCCUGGGUUCAAGCCUAAGCA
rnacentral:tRNA from 1 species